AUGCACGCUGGCGGCGUGCCUAAUACAUGCAAGUCGCGCGAACAGACGAGGAGCUUGCUCCUCUGACGUUAGCGGCGGACGGGUGAGUAACACGUGGAUAACCUAUCUAUAAGACUGGGAUAACUUCGGGAAACCGGAGCUAAUACCGGAUAAUAUAUUGAACCGCAUGGUUCAAUAGUGAAAGACGGUUUUGCUGUCACUUAUAGAUGGAUCCGCGCCGCAUUAGCUAGUUGGUAAGGUAACGGCUUACCAAGGCAACGAUGCGUAGCCGACCUGAGAGGGUGAUCGGCCACACUGGAACUGAGACACGGUCCAGACUCCUACGGGAGGCAGCAGUAGGGAAUCUUCCGCAAUGGGCGAAAGCCUGACGGAGCAACGCCGCGUGAGUGAUGAAGGUCUUCGGAUCGUAAAACUCUGUUAUUAGGGAAGAACAAAUGUGUAAGUAACUAUGCACGUCUUGACGGUACCUAAUCAGAAAGCCACGGCUAACUACGUG
rnacentral:rRNA from 1 species